rnacentral:misc_RNA from 1 species
GUUACAUCUAGAAACACAGGCAAAUGUUAACCCUCAACUCUAAAAACUACUUUCCUGCAUGGUAUGCAUUCUUCAACGUAUUUCAGUCGCAUGGCUUAAUCUAUGGAAUGUUCUAAAAAUAUGCAUACAACAAAACCCAAUUAUUCUUAACCGAGGCACCUUGUGUCUGAAUAAAGAUCAAUGUGGGGCGUUUUGUGCUUCCUGGCGAUUUAUUUAGACUUCUU